UACGAAGGGGGCUAGCGUUGCUCGGAAUCACUGGGCGUAAAGCGCACGUAGGCGGAUUCUUAAGUCGGUGGUGAAAUCCUGGAGCUCAACUCCAGAACUGCCUUCGAUACUGAGAGACUUGAGUCCGGGAGAGGUGAGUGGAACUGCGAGUGUAGAGGUGAAAUUCGUAGAUAUUCGCAAGAACACCAGUGGCGAAGGCGGCUCACUGACCCGGUACUGACGCUGAGGUGCGAAAGCGUGGGGAGCAAACAGG
rnacentral:rRNA from 1 species